AAGAGGUCCAGCCUGCCCAGUGACUUUGUUCAACGGCCGCGGUAUCCUAACCGUGCGAAGGUAGCGUAAUCACUUGUCCUUUAAAUAAGGACUGGUAUGAACGGCAUCACGAAGGUUACACUGUCUCCUUUUUCCAAUCAGUGAAUCUAAUCUCCCCGUGAAGAAGCGGGGAUAAGACUAUAAGACGAGAAGACCCUAUGGAGCUUUAAACUAAGUAACAACUGCUUUUACAUCUCUUCAUUUCAGAAUACUAACAUUUAUUUUAGCUACAUGUUUACUAGUUUUAGGUUGGGGUGACCGCGGAGUAAAAAAUAACCUCCACAUUGAAUGGAAUUAAACUCCUGAGUUGUGGGCCACAACCCUAAGCACCAAUAAAUUGACAUCAAUUGACCCAAUAUUUUGAUCAACGAACCAAGUUACCCUAGGGAUAACAGCGCAAUCCGCUUAAAGAGCUCCUAUCGACAAGCGGGUUUACGACCUCGAUGUUGGAUCAGGGUAUCCCAGUGGUGCAGCCGCUACUAAAGGUUCGUUUGUUCAACGAUUAAAACCCU
rnacentral:rRNA from 1 species